rnacentral:rRNA from 1 species
AGGACGAACGCUGGCGGCGUGCCUAACACAUGCAAGUCGAACGCUGUCCAUUCGGUGGCAACACUGAUGAAGACGGAGUGGCGAACGGGUGAGUAGCACGUGAGCAACCUGCCCCGAAGACCGGGACAACACCGGGAAACCGGUGCUAAUACCGGAUGCCCCCACCGGGCCGCAUGACCUGGUGAGGAAAUGGAUUCCGCUUCGGGAGGGGCUCGCGGCCUAUCAGCUUGUUGGUGGGUAAUGGCCUACCAAGGCUUCGACGGGUAGCUGGUCUGAGAGGACGAUCAGCCACACUGGGACUGAGACACGGCCCAGACUCCUACGGGAGGCAGCAGUGGGGAAUCUUGCGCAAUGGGCGAAAGCCUGACGCAGCAACGCCGCGUGAGGGACGAAGGCUUUCUGAGUUGUAAACCUCUUUCAGCAGGAACGAUAGUGACGGUACCUGCAGAAGAAGCACCGGCCAACUACGCGCCAGCAGCCGCGGUAA